rnacentral:rRNA from 1 species
GGAGGAUCAUUAUCGUAGGGCUUCGGCCCUGUCGAGAUAGAACCCUUGCCUUUUUGAGUACCUUUCGUUUCCUCGGCAGGCUCGCCAGCCAAUGGGGACCACAAAAAACACUUUGCAGUACCUGUAACAGUCUGAACAAACAAACAAAAAUUAAAACUUUCAACAACGGAUCUCUUGGUUCUGGCAUCGAUGAAGAACGCAGCGAAAUGCGAUAAGUAGUGUGAAUUGCAGAAUUCAGUGAAUCAUCGAAUCUUUGAACGCACAUAGCGCCCUUUGGUAUUCCUUAGGGCAUGCCUGUUCGAGCGUCAUUUAAACCUUCAAGCUAAGCUUGGUGUUGGGUGACUGUCCGCUUCACGGCGGACUCGCCUCAAAAUUAUAGGCGGCCGGUACAUUGGCUUCGAGCGCAGCAGAAACGCGAACUCGGGCCCGUCGUAUUGGCUCCCAGAAGCUAUCUUCACAAUUUUGACCUCGGAUCAGGUAGGGAUACCCGCUGAACUUAAGCAUAUCAAUAAGCGGAGGA